rnacentral:rRNA from 1 species
AACCUUUACACUGCACGACAGUGCGAUAGGGGGACUCCGAGUGCGAGGGCAUAUAGCCCUCGCUUUUCUGAACCGUAAGGUGGUUCAGGAACAAGGACUGGGCAAGACCGGUGCCAGCCGCCGCGGUAAUACCGGCAGUCCGAGUGAUGGCCGAUAUUAUUGGGCCUAAAGCGUCCGUAGCCGGCCGGACAAGUCCGUUGGGAAAUCGACGCGCUCAACGCGUCGGCGUCCAGCGGAAACUGUCCGGCUUGGGGCCGGAAGACCUGAGGGGUACGUCCGGGGUAGGAGUGAAAUCCUGUAAUCCUGGACGGACCGCCAAUGGGGAAACCACCUCAGGAAGACGGACCCGACGGUGAGGGACGAAAGCUAGGGUCUCGAACCGGAUUAGAUACCCGGGUAGUCCUAGCUGUAAACGAUGCUCGCUAGGUGUGCCGUAGGCUACGAGCCUGCGCUGCGCCCUAGGGAAGCCGAGAAGCGAGCCGCCUGGGAAGUACGUCCGCAAGGAUGAAACUUAA